AGUGAACGCUGGCGGUAGGCCUAACACAUGCAAGUCGAACGGCAGCACAGUAAGAGCUUGCUCUUACGGGUGGCGAGUGGCGGACGGGUGAGGAAUACAUCGGAAUCUACUUUUUCGUGGGGGAUAACGUAGGGAAACUUACGCUAAUACCGCAUACGACCUACGGGUGAAAGCAGGGGAUCUUCGGACCUUGCGCGAUUGAAUGAGCCGAUGUCGGAUUAGCUAGUUGGCGGGGUAAAGGCCCACCAAGGCGACGAUCCGUAGCUGGUCUGAGAGGAUGAUCAGCCACACUGGAACUGAGCCGCGGUCCAGACUCCUACGGGAGGCAGCAGUGGGGAAUAUUGGACAAUGGGCGCAAGCCUGAUCCAGCCAUACCGCGUGGGUGAAGAAGGCCUUCGGGUUGUAAAGCCCUUUUGUUGGGAAAGAAAAGCAGCAGGUUAAUACCCCGCUGUUCUGACGGUACCCAAAGAAUAAGCACCGGCUAACUUCGU
rnacentral:rRNA from 1 species